rnacentral:lncRNA from 1 species
UAUAUUUUUCAUAAACACAUUUGGACCUCCCUAAAAAAAAUAGCAUAUCUUGAAACAUAGAUUUCUCAUUACAAUUCAUAUAGUACUAUUACCAGUUGCUCCAAAAUGGUAAGAUCGAGGAUCAUAUGCAUCUAGAUGAUCCAGAUAGUAUUAUAAAAACUACUAACUCUAAAACUGAAUCAGGAGACUAUCUACAACCCACC